UACGUAGGGGGCAAGCGUUGUCCGGAAUCAUUGGGCGUAAAGAGCGUGUAGGCGGCCCGGUAAGUCCGCUGUGAAAGUCGAGGGCUCAACCCUCGAAUGCCGGCGGAUACUGUCGGGCUAGAGUCCGGAAGAGGCGAGUGGAAUUCCUGGUGUAGCGGUGAAAUGCGCAGAUAUCAGGAGGAACACCGAUGGCGAAGGCAGCUCGCUGGGACGGUACUGACGCUGAGACGCGAAAGCGUGGGGAGCAAACAGG
rnacentral:rRNA from 1 species